rnacentral:rRNA from 1 species
UACGUAGGGGGCUAGCGUUGUCCGGAAUCAUUGGGCGUAAAGAGCUCGUAGGUGGUUUGUCGCGUUGUUCGUGAAAUCUCACGGCUUAACUGUGAGCGUGCGGGCGAUACGGGCAGACUGGAGUACUGCAGGGGAGACUGGAAUUCCUGGUGUAGCGGUGGAAUGCGCAGAUAUCAGGAGGAACACCGGUGGCGAAGGCGGGUCUCUGGGCAGUAACUGACGCUGAGGAGCGAAAGCGUGGGGAGCGAACAGG